rnacentral:rRNA from 1 species
CAUUUGUUCCCUAAAUAGGGACUUGUAUGAAUGGCCACACGAGGGCUUUACUGUCUCUUACUUCCGAUCCGUGAAAUUGACCUUCCCGUGAAGAGGCGGGAAUAUAACAAUAAGACGAGAAGACCCUAUGGAGCUUUAAUUAACCGACCCAAAGAGACCCCAUUUAUCCAACCGACAGGAACAACAAACCUCCACUAUGGGUCGACAAUUUAGGUUGGGGUGACCUCGGAGAAUAAAACAACCUCCGAGUGAUUUAAAUCAAGACUAACCAGUCAAAAGUAUUACAUCACUUAUUGAUCCAAAAACUUGAUCAACGGAACAAGUUACCCUAGGGAUAACAGCGCAAUCCUAUUUUAGAGUCCAUAUCGACAAUAGGGUUUACGACCUCGAUGUUGGAUCAGGACAUCCCGAUGGUGCAGCAGCUAUCAAAGGUUCGUUUGUUCAACGAUUAAAGUCCU